GUGUUUGCUUUGGCAACACAUAUAUUAAAAUUGGAACAAUACAGAGGUUAGCAUGCCUCCUGCACAAAGAUCACAUGCAAAUUCAUGAAGUACUCCAUAUUUUU